CUAGCUGAAUGCAGGGGAACCAGUGGAGGACUCCAAGAAGAUCCUGAAAUGGAAGAAGCCUAGAUCUAGGAAGGAACCUAGCUAGAUCCCUGAAUUGGUGCUUGAAGGGAAGCUGACCAAGAGAACCAUCAAUGUCCUGCAGAUCAAACAAUAUGAUCUGGAGAAAAUAUUUUCCAGGGAAAAGCACACUGUGCACUGAGCCUCGUCCCUGAGUUUCUGUGAUAAGGCUUCAGAGUUUAGCUCCAUACCCACUAACUGCUAUUUGUAUGAAGUAUGGAAGGUCUCUCAUUUUUUUCUCACCUGUAAAGUGAAAGUGGUGAGUUCCAAGUCAUCAGAUUGCUUUUGACAAUAAUCACUAUGUGUAUUAACAUUUUCAACAACUGUGGCCAAAACAUCUGAUAGGAACAACUUAGAAGAGGAAGAAGUUUAUUUGGGGUUCACAAUUUCAGGAGUUCUGUCCAUGGUUGGCUAACUCCAUUGCUCUGGCACAGAGGUGAGGCAGAACAUCAUGGUGGAAGGGUAUGGCAGAGAAGCACAGCUCAGCUCAUAACAGCUGGGAAGCAAAGAGAGAGAAAGGAACCAGAGACAAGAUAUAAUCCCUGGGGCAUGCCCUCAGUGACCUCCUUCCUCCAGCUAUACCCUACCUACUUAUAAGUACCACCCAGUAGUCCAUUCAAAUUAUUAAUCCAUCAAAUGGUUUCAUUCAUGGAUGAAGUACCGCAAAUCAUAACCUAAUCAUUUCACCCCUGAACAUUUCUGCAUUGCCUAACUCAUGACUUUUUCAGGAACAUCUCAUAUCCAAAUUAUGAUAGCACCCCAGAAUGUACUGAGGUUCAGAAUUUUCCUGGGGUUACAUCCUAGUAAUUUAUAAAAUCUAAAGAAAAAAAAGUGUGAUUUCAGUUGGAAUUCCUUUUGAUCAUUCAUAAGAGACUCUCUUACCCUGAAUAAAGUAUAAAAUAAUUGGAUAAUUCCAACAAAGAAACAAGUGAAGGUAAAGUUCUACUUAGUUCCUGUAAGGAUCUUGAAUGGUAUUAGAGGAUGUGUGUCUAAUUUAAACUCAUGUAUGAUGUUCUCCGCUUGGAGACUCUUAAGAUCAUGUUCUCCAGAAAAGUUGUGGGAAGAAAAGGGGCCCAAAUGCAACAACAUCAGUUUCUUCUG
rnacentral:lncRNA from 1 species